rnacentral:rRNA from 1 species
AAUCAACGCUGGCGGCGUGCCUAACACAUGCAAGUCGAACGCGAAAGCCCCGCAAGGGGUAAGUAGAGUGGCAAACGGGUGAGUAACACGUGGGUGACCUGCCUUCGAGUGGGGGAUAACGUCCCGAAAGGGACGCUAAUACCGCAUGACAUCCUGCUUUUGAAAAAGCGGAGAUCAAAGCUGGGGAUCGCAAGACCUAGCGCUUGAAGAGGGGCCCGCGCCUGAUUAGCUAGUUGGUGAGGUAACGGCUCACCAAGGCGACGAUCAGUAUCCGGCCUGAGAGGGCGGACGGGCACACUGGGACUGAGACACGGCCCAGACUCCUACGGGGGGCAGCAGGGGGGAAUUGUUCGCAAUGGGCGCAAGCCUGACGACGCAACGCCGCGUGGAGGACGAAGAUCUUCGGGUCGUAAACUCCUGUCGAGCGGGACGAACGCUUCGCGGAUGAAUAAUCCGCGGAAUUGACGGUACCGCUAAAGGAAGCCCCGGCUAACUCCGUG